CAGUAGCCGCGGGAACACGGAGGGGGCUAGCGUUGUUCGGAAUUACUGGGCGUAAAGCGCACGUAGGCGGCUUGGUAAGUUAGAGGUGAAAGCCCGGAGCUCAACUCCGGAAUUGCCUUUAAGACUGCCGAGCUAGUAGGUGAGAGAGGUAAGUGGAAUUCCGAGUGUAGAGGUGAAAUUCGUAGAUAUUCGGAAGAACACCAGUGGCGAAGGCGGCUUACUGGCUCAUUCUAGACGCUGAGGUGCGAAAGCGUGGGGAGCAAACAGGAUUAGAGACCCCCGUAGUCCCUGUCUCUUAUAC
rnacentral:rRNA from 1 species